GGCUCUUCAGGAGAAAGAGGAACCGGACAUCCUCCAGUUCAGGGCCGACCACCGUGCCCUUGGCAAGGAGCCAUAACCCUCUGGAGACCACAAGUGCAGCUCCUCCUGAGCAGCAGGGCCACUGGGACCCUCGGGGUGCACCGGGUCAGCUCUUCCCCCCCCACCCCAAGUGAAGGAGGACAUCUGAAGACUUUCCCUGGUUUCCCCUAAAGCCCCAGGCGGAGGGCACGACCCCCCUCCAAAUCCCUGACAUCUGCACCCCAGGGACUGUUUAUCCAUUGAGGAGGAGCAUUAGUAUAUGUUUAAGAGUAAAUAUCAGAUUUGAA